rnacentral:rRNA from 1 species
GACGAACGCUGGCGGCGUGCUUAAUACAUGCAAGUCAACUUGACUUUAGAUAGCAAUAUCGAAAAGUAGGGUGGCGCGCGGGUGCGUAACGCGUAGGUAAUCUGCCCUGAGGUCUGACAUAACCCGUCGAAAGGCGGGCUAACAUCAGAUGAUAUAUAAUCACGACAUCGUGGAAAUAUCAAAUCUUCGGAGCCUUGGGAUGAGCCUGCGUCUGAUUAGGUAGUUGGCGGAGUAAUAGCCCACCAAGCCUACGAUCAGUAGCUGGUCUGAGAGGAUGAUCAGCCACACUGGGACUGAGACACGGUCCAGACUCCUACGGGAGGCAGCAGUAAGGAAUAUUGCUCAAUGGGGGAAACCCUGAAGCAGCAACGCCGCGUGAAGGAUGAAAUACUUUUGAUGUAAACUUCUGUAAGAUGGGAAAAAUAUUCUCCUCGGGAGAAUUGAUUGUACCAUCAGAGUAAGCCCCGGCUAACUACGUGCCAGC